GUGAACCUCAAAACCCUCCCUAACCGGCUGAAGAAAGAGUGACAAAGGCAUGCAAUGCAACAGUGACUUUUAACACUUCUGAGUCUGAGCCAUAAACCGGGGCAGGAGUGCUGAGAGCGCUGUGGAGUGAGCCUGAAGAGAGAGAGUGGCUCGGGUGAGAGACUCGCGUACAUGGGAGAAAUGGAUGUGUCUAUUUGGAAAUUGAAAUUGGAACAUUAUCAAGGGCCAUCAAAUGGGACAGACGAGUUACAUGUGGCUUUGGGAAGAUGAACUGUAAACAAUAUCUGAAAAAGACACGCUAGAAUGAUAAAUGCUGGGAGAAGGACGGGGGCGUCUACACACUGCGAACAAUUUAGACUAAGGAUGCAUUGUGAUACUGAUCUUUCAUUACCAGGCCACUUGCGACGGGGACAAAGGGGGGCUGUAAUGAGAAGAGUGCUUAACAGCAGUAAAAGGUUCCAUUUACAAAUGUACAUUCCAACCGGGAUGAUGUGUGCUAAGUUGAUAAGCUGGAAUUCGAGUCAUUGACUCAAAGUAAGCACUAAGGACUGUCAUUCUGAAUUUGGGUUGGAUAAUUUAUAAAAUGAGAGUUGCUUUCGAACGGUGAGGGGUUGAGGUGCUGCUUAAAUUUAUUAGGCCGAGGGAGGCUCCAGAAACCUUAUUUUCUAAGUGUCCUCCGACAAGGAAAUUGUUAGAGAACUCACUGGAUGAUAGCUUGGGUCAACCAUGAAGUUUUAUUUUUUUGUUCUCUUUUGUUUUACCAUGUCAUCAGCAUUUUUUAUGUUAAAUCGCAUCGAUACAUAGAGAUGGCUGGAUGAUACAGUACAAUUAAUUGCAUACAAGGCUCGUACUCUGUGUUUUGCGAUAACACCCAAGGAUGAAAACGAAGGAGAGAGCAUGGAGACCAGCAUAACAUGGGCACAGAACGUAACAACCUCCUGAGACGGCCCGCAGUCCGGAACCUCCUGAGACGGCCCGCAGUCCGGAACCUCCUGAGACGGCCCGCAGUCCGGAACCUCCUGAGACGGCCCUCAGUCCGGAGCCUCCAGCGACGGCCCUCAGUCCGGAGCCUCCAGCGACGGCCCUCAGUCCGGAGCCUCCAGCGACGGCCCGCAGUCCGGAGCCUCCAGUGGCAGUCCGCAGUCCGGAGCCUCCAGCAGCGGUCUGCAGUCUGGAGCCUCCGGCGAUGAUCCGCGGUCCGGUGACACGAAAGCAGAGGGAUCAGCUAGUGGAGCGGGGGCUACGCCCCGAACCGGAGCCACCUCCUAUGCUGGUGGAUAAGCAGGAUGAGAGGGUUCUUCGUCCCGCACCAGAACCGCCUCCGAUGCAGAAGGAUCCGCAGGAUGUGAAGGUUCUUCGUCCUGCAUCAGAGCCGCCACCGACAUUAGACACCCACCCUAAGCCUCCCUGUCUUUUUUUGUUGUUUAAGGUUGUGCGUUCGGUGUCCGCACCUUUUUUUGGGGGGGGAGGUACUGUCACGUCCUGACCAUAGAAAGCUUUUAUUUUCUAUGGUAGAGUAGGUCAGGGCGUGACAGGGGGUUUUGUCUAGUUUAUUUAUUUCUAUGUUGGUUCUAGUUUCUUUUUUCUAUGUUGGGGUUUUGUCUAGUUUAUGUAUUUCUAUGUGGGGUUCUAGUUUCUGUAUUUCUAUGUUUUUUGGGGGGAUGAUCUCCAAUUAGAGGCAGCUGGUCAUCGUUGUCUCUAAUUGGGGAUCAUAUUUAAGUUGUUGUUUUUCCCACUAGGUUUUGUGGGAGAUUAUUUUGAGUAAGUGUAUGUUGCACCUCUUCGUCGCGGUUUGUUGUUUUGUUUAUGAGUUUAUUUGUAUGUCGUGCAUAGUUUCACAGUUUAAAUAAAAUGUGGAACGAUA
rnacentral:lncRNA from 1 species